rnacentral:lncRNA from 1 species
AAAAUGCGAGAAGUACCUUGCAAUAAAGAGAGGGUGGCUGUUACUUGAUAGGCUUGUGCUCCAAUACUACUGAAGGUGUGUCAUUUGAAGAAAGACUUGAUGACAGAUGGCAUUUCCGAAAGUAGAGAACUGGGGGGAGCUGAAAGAAAUGUUUCUCAGGCUGAUGUUAGAGAGGAUAAGCAGCAGUCUGGACAUGGUCAAGAUCAGAGUUACCUAAGGAAUGUUUAGAAAAUGGCAAAUAUAUUAGCAGUAUGAUAAGGUGAGGUUAUAUGAAGUAGGAAGAGAAGCCCGGAAAACCCACAUAGGUGACUCUGGCCUGGAUGACUAAGGCUUCAUGUUUGGUGCAGUAAUAUUUUAAGAGUAUCCUCAGAAUGUGUCCCUCACCUAUGCUCAGGCAAAACUCUACCCUUCCUUGGAUCAGACAGAAUAGCCCUAGACUGCUGGGUGCUCAAAUCCAACCCAUUUGGCUAAUUCCUGAGUAUCUGCCAACCACUGGUUGGACUAAUUAUCAGCUCAUGAUCCAACCCAUUUAAACAAUAAAACAGUGGGAAUAAUAAAAGUAUAGGUAAAAAGUUAUCCCUGCAGAGGAAGGGAAAGAUUUAACUGUUCGGGUUUUGUAAUUCCUGUUAUCUAUACUUAAGACUGUAUGAGAAUAAUAGAAAAAUAAAAAGAAAUGCUAAUGGUGAAGAAACAGAUUUUGGUGUAAGCUAUUGUCAUCUGUCUCUCUGCGGAAUGCAUUUUAGGCAAAGGAAAGACUAAGGAAACAUUCUAGGAAGACUUAAUUCCCAUGAAAACUAUACUUGGUCUGUAGGAACCUAUCAUUCUACAAGAACCAAGUCAAAUUCCAUGAGUGAUUGGUUAGGUAUCCCUGGCCCUAAAGAAUCACAGAAUGUACCCCAAUUUGAAGACUCUGACUCAAAAUAGGCUGCUUUAGACUAGCUCAAGAUAGUCGAGGAAAACAAGACAAAACAGCAAUACCUUUCACACCUUGAAUGCAGACCCUUAAUUUCACCAUAGCUGGUUCUUUCCCCACCUCCAAUUAACUCAUAAGCCAAGCUAACUAUAUUUUUAAUCACUGUCUACCACUAUGGUGUCCAAUACGGUAACCACCAAUGGCUACUGACCACUUCAUAUGUGGUCAGUGUGUAUGGAAAUAUGCUCUAAGUGUAACAUACACACCAGAUCUCAAAGCACAGCACAGAAAAGUAAAAUAUGCCAUGAAUAACUUUUAAAAUAUUGAUUGCUUAUGGAAAUGAUAAUCUUUUGAAUACAUUUGGUUAAAGAAAAUAUAUUUUCAAAAUUAAUUUCAACUUAAAGAAAACUUUCCUUUUAAUGAAGCUACUAGAAAAAUUAAAAUUAAUGUUAAUCAUGUUAUAGUUUUAUUGGACAGUGCUGGUCUAUUUUCCUUACACCCCAGGAUACCCAAGGCCUAAAACAGUUAAUACAUUUCUAAUUGAAACUCAUCUUAGAAAUCUCUCUUCCAAUGUUUGAUGCCUAUAGAUAGAAAAAAAAGUAAAGGUCAGGGAUACUUGAUUGUAACUUCAAUCUUAAAAGUAUGUAUGCUGAUAGUGUGAAUCAUUAUAGCACACCCAUAAUCUGAAAUAGAUGGCAAUGACCUACCUAUUUUUUCCAGUUCUAGGCUUACCCAGUGUUAACUCCUUGCAAAACUUACCAUUUUCUUUUCCAUGCCUCAGCAACAGAAUAAGAUGUAAAGAAAGAGGAAGUGAUGCCUAGACUACCUAGCCCCUAGCACUGCCAUAAAGGGCAGGAAACACCCAAUGUCUACAUUAAGAAGCUUACACCAUUAGCUAGUUUCAGAGCUGUCAUGAUAAACUAACCCUCCUUAUCCAAAUCUGGUCCUGUUCUCAUUAUACAUCUCUGUUUUGCCCCAUAAAAAUGGGGCAAGAACGGGGUGCACUGGACAAAAGUCUCUAGGUUGCUGACCUGACAGAGAAUUGAUUUACUUAGACUUAGCAUCUCUCUCUCCACACCUGACUCAGUGAAAAGUUGCAAACAGUGUUUAAAUAUUAUACUUUCACUUUCAACAAAUCACUGUCAAUUUCUCCCCAUACCCAUUUUUCCAAAGCCUUAUGAACAGGUGUUACUGUUGUUUACGAUCAGCACAGCAACCUACUGGGAGAAGUGAUUCACCGAAAAGUAAAAUUGAAUAUUUUUCCUUCAACAUUUGAUGAGGAUAAUACUUCUGGGCACAUAUGGCAAUUGUACCAACAUUUCAUAGAAUCAUAAAAUCCUAGUUCUCAAAAGAAUCUUCUGCAGCUAAAACAAAAGCAAUGUGUCAAGCUUGCUAUUUAUUGUUGGGAUAUUUAAAAGACAAGAUUUUUCCAAUUUUUAGAUACAGUUAUUGAAAAAGCUACAAUAAGAAGAUGAAGAGAAAAGCAAGAAACCGUGAAAUACAGGAUAACAUAUGUGAACUAAAAGUAUAAAUAUAUAUUUUUAAGUGAUUGAAGUAGAUAUUUCAUCUAAUCACUAUAGCAUCCCUGCUCUAAUUUUCAGGUGAGUUUCUAAUGAAGGGGAGAACGAAUCAGUCACAGUUAUAUGGACAUAAAUAUCUAUGACAAUUUUUAUAGAUAUUGUGGGCAAUUUAGUUAUUAUCUUUCCCGCCCUUUAUAUAAUUGAGGAAAUUUGUUGGGAGAUCAAAAUAAAUAGUGCACUGGUUUUAGCCAUGGUACAAGAAAUGCUAACUGGAAUGUGCUCUAUACAGUCAUAUAAAUAAAGGCUUUUAAGAAUUUUUUAAAAGCAAUAACCUGUGUUAUCAUAAGUUUCAGAAAGCUUUGUCUACUUAAAAUUGUAUAGGUUUUUCAAGGUGGAAACUUUUGAAGUAAGUAAUAUUUUCCUAAAAAUCAGCAUUAAGUUCUUUUGCUAUCUUUAUAGACUUCUUGAGGCUGGUAAUUACCUUCUCUUUCAGCUUUCAUUUUCACACUUGUGUUUGCAUACACUAUAUAUAAAAGUGAGCAAGAAAGUAGAGAGGGAUCUUAUUUGAAAAUAUUAUUUUUACCCAUCUCAUAACUAAUGAACUUAAAGUACUGAAACGUUUCAACAGAAAAGAAAAACCAAAGAGGAAGGAAAAAAAGCUUUUACAGGAAGGCGAUGGAGGUCAUUUUGUAAACAGUUAUUUGAGAACUAAUCAUGGGAGAGACCUUUCCUUUGAUCUUUUCCAAAUAAGCCACUUAAUAUUUUCACGUGUCAAUUUCACCAUAUUUGCAAGUGCCACUCACUCAUUCAUUCAGGUACUAACCAAGGCUUGCUAAAGCUCCACUGGGAGACACUGACUCCAGGAUGAUAGUGUAAUCCAGGCUGCAAUGCAAAACGCAUUUAUUCUGAUGUAAAGUGUUCCUUUCUUUCAUAUCCAGAGAUUAUGAUUUUGUGACAGUAAUUGCUCGGUUAUUUAUAAAAAGUAAACAAAUCACUUAUCUACAAUAAGUAAGGCAUUUAUUUAUUCUUGGAACUAGCCAGUAAAAUUUCAGACAAACUUUUCUUCUAGUAUUAACUAUUAUGACUUGCUUCAAAGAAAAAGUGCUUUUGCAGAAGCCUAGUGACAAACCAUAGAAGAACAUAUUAUCUUCAAUUUGGUUUCAAAUGUUAUUUCAAUCUCUUACCUUACUUCUUUGAAGAAAUUCUGAAAAUUUUUUAAAGUAAUAAUAAGAAGAAAUUACCUAAGAAGAAAUUACCUAAUCACAAUAUUUCCUUUUAAGGCAAAUAUCAGGAUUUAGGAUAUUAUGUAAUUUAUCAGUUCAAUUUACUAAAAAAAAGAGGUGCAGAAAAUGUUAUUAGAGGUAGUUAUCCUUGAUUUUAACCAAGGAUCAUUUGUUAUGGAGGCAUCAAAGUAUACCCUAGCUCCAAAUUUCAUGACCAUUAUCACCAAAGAUUCAUGGAAUGUAUCUUGUUUGUUCUCUUUUCAGAAAGUGUUUUCUGAAAAGCAAAUUUAACAUCUGACAUCAUUUGCCUCUUUAGGAUUUUAAUGGACAAUUGUGCUUAAAAUCUUAUAAGGAAGUGCUCUCAAAACUAUCAUUUAAAAAAUCACGUGUGGGUUACUCUCUGUAAUAACAAGGGUAUUUCUACGUCACAGUGUGCCCGGAACAAUCCUACAUACAUACCGGUGGUCCAGGCUCAUUAUUAGCAGUGCUUUCUUUAUCAAAGUGUUCUGGGUUUGGGUAAAAAUUACAUGGUAAACCUAGCAAUAGCCAAAGAUCAAUCAGAAUUCAGACAUUUCAAACUUUCUGUUCUUCAGUUCCCUUUUUUUUUUUUUUGACCCAAAUAGGCAGAUUGAACUCAAUAACCUUUAAGGGCUUUUGUAGAAUUUUAACAUUCUGUGAUUCUUCAUUCUAGCUGAAUUGUAACUGGAUGAUUCAGGUAAAAGCUAAUUUGGAGCAUUUGACUUUUAGUUGUCAGACUGAACUUGUAACAUUCAGUUAAAAGGGAAGGUAUACAACUUUUAUUCAACAUGAGUUAGUAUUUCAUUUAUAUAUAUGUGUAUUCAUAUAUAAAUAUAUAUGGAUAUAUGGAUAUGGAUAUAUGGAUAUACAUGUAUAUAUAUGUAUAUACGCAUAUAUAGUAUAUGUAUUUAAAUUGAAGUUUUAGUUUGAGAAUACUUUAAAGUUUUGAAUUACUUAAAGUAGGACUUAGAAGAAUUACCAAAAUAAACCCAUGAGAAUCAUUAUUUGUAGGAUUAGACAAGUUCCUUUUUGCAAUAAUAUAAUCAGCAAAAUAUAGAAACUAAAAAAGACAAAAUAGUUUUGUGGAAUGAAGAGGUAUAACUCUUUAGUAUUAAUUAGUCUAAGCUUGAUGCUUUCUAUAAUAAAUUUUUACAACAUCAAUACAGUAUUAUGGAGGAGAAACACUGAAGUUGAAUUUUUGUGUAGUAAAACCAUACAAAAAGAAUUUAAUGGAAUCUGUAGAUUAUAUUUUUCUAUAUACACAUACAGUAUCAUUCAUAAGCAUGAUGUACAUGUGAUGCUCUAUAAACAUGAUGUUCUGCAUAGUAUUAGAAACAUUUUCUUUUGUAAAAUGUUAUUUUCAUAGCACUGAGUUUAAAGACUUUAUUUUUGGAAUGUGUACGUAUUUUCUUUAUAAGAUGAUAGAGCUACUGAGGUAUUUCCUUUGUUGUGUCACCUUUAGGACUUACUAUUUGAAGUACUUCUUAGAAAUUGCUAUGCCACAGUGUCCAGAAUUUUAACUAUUCUUUAAACACUUCUAAAACACUUCAUAAAUAGAAAGUGUAUUGGGGUAUAUAACAUCAAUAUAUAUCCAACUUUAUAAAAUACACUGAGUUCAGUUAUCUCUAGAACCAUGCAUAUAUUAUUCACCAUAAAAGUUCUACUCAGUGUCAAUAAAGUAAACAUUUUUGUAAGAAAUCUAGGCAAACCACUGAGGAAAACCUGUUCGUGGAAUAUAUGUUAGAAUAAUUUGCCCCAAGAAUAUUACAUGGAGGCAGAAUCUGCUAAAAUAUUUGAUAUUAAUUCAUUCAUCUGAUUUUUUAACACUGUAAGAGUACCAGUGGCCAGGAAAAUAGAUUAUCAAAAUAGGAAAUUACAAAUAUGAAACCUAUAAUGAUGGAAAGUAGAGAUGUUUUCUAAGUAAUUAGUACAAUUCUCAAAAAUACUUUUCUACGAUUUCUUAUGUGUUUUCUCAUUUAGAUACAUUUUAUGAAGGAAAAAAUUAUGCUGAAAAACCCCUUGAAAUUCUAAUUUUUUAAAGUAAAUUUAUUAAAGUGGGGAAUAAGCCAUUUAGUCAAAUCACAGAGAGGGAAAACCAUAUUAAUUAUGUAUAUUUCAAUGUGUAUUCAUAAAUGCCCAUUGCAUAAACCUCAUAGUAACCUAUGUUACCCACGUAAACAUCAUUUGGGGUUAAGAGAGAAAAUAUUGAAUAACGCACAAUUUAAAAUCAUUAGUGAGCAAAAUCAGACAUGGCAGAAAUAAAAGACUUUGAGCUCCGACACACUGAAUAUAGAAAAAUGAGGUUUUGGAAUCAUUUGACAGCUGAUACCUACUGGUAACCAGAGGCCCUGAAAAGACAACUUAAAAGAUAUUUGAACCUAACGUGUGCGUGUCUAUGUGCUUGUGUGUCCACAUGUAUAAAUAAAGUACUAACCUACUAGUUAUCUCUUUUUACUCUCAGCCUGUCAAAAAAACCUGUCAGCUGCAAAGGCGAUAAGGGGGGCAGUUUAAAGAAGAUACUGGAGCCUUAAGCUUCUUAAUGUGCCAAGAAUCAAUCCCAUGAAAGCAAACAACUUGAAAAAGGGUUAUAUGUAUUUAGGAAAGCUCUCAGGCUCCCUUCCCGCUCCGCUCCAGCCAGAGCGAGUGUUCAAGUUUUCUCACCCUGAUGACCCCUGAAGCAGCCCGGAGGGAUUGCAAAACAAGGCCGUUACACAAGGCAGCUUGCUAAUUGAGAAGUUGAUCGGGGGUAGAGAAAUCCUGCUUUACCACGUUAAGUGUCGAAAUCAAGCAUGACUAGAUUGACGUCGCCAAAUCACCGUCUGGAGGCCACUCCACGCCAGGAGCAGCCGGGCUUUUCACACCUGAUAGGCCCUCACUCUAUCUACAUCAAG